AAAAUAGUUGAAUAAUUAAAAUAAUUUUUCUGCCUAGAACAAUAAUUUCACACUUAUCCCUCUAAAGCAUUUUUGUUUAUCUCGGUAUAUAAUGUUCUCGGCAGAUAAAAAAGUGUAUGCACCUCUUGCCAAAAUUGUUAUCUAGACGUGUGGGCAUUGCUGGUCGA